rnacentral:Y_RNA from 1 species
GGCUUGUCCGAACGUAAUGAGUCACUCACUUGAUUGUUCACAGUCAGUUACAGAUUGAACUCCUUGUUCUACUACUUUCCCCCUUCUCACUACUACACUUGACUAGUCUUAA